rnacentral:rRNA from 1 species
UACAGAGGGUGCAAGCGUUGUUCGGAAUUACUGGGCGUAAAGGGCGCGUAGGCGGCCUUCUAAGUCGAACGUGAAAUCCCCGGGCUCAACCCGGGAACUGCGUCCGAUACUGGAAGGCUUGAAUCCGGGAGAGGGAUGCGGAAUUCCAGGUGUAGCGGUGAAAUGCGUAGAUAUCUGGAGGAACACCGGUGGCGAAAGCGACUUCCUGGACCAAUACUGACGCUCAUGUGCGAAAGCGUGGGGAGCAAACGGG